AACGAACGCUGGCGGCAUGCCUAAUACAUGCAAGUCGAACGAGAUCUUCGGGUCUAGUGGCGCACGGGUGCGUAACGCGUGGGAAUCUGCCCUUUGGUUCGGAAUAACAGUUGGAAACGACUGCUAAUACCGGAUGAUGACGAAAGUCCAAAGAUUUAUCGCCAGAGGAUGAGCCCGCGUAGGAUUAGCUAGUUGGUGUGGUAAAGGCGCACCAAGGCGACGAUCCUUAGCUGGUCUGAGAGGAUGAUCAGCCACACUGGGACUGAGACACGGCCCAGACUCCUACGGGAGGCAGCAGUGGGGAAUAUUGGACAAUGGGCGAAAGCUUGAUCCAGCAAUGCCGCGUGAGUGAUGAAGGCCUUAGGGUUGUAAAGCUCUUUUACCCGGGAUGAUAAUGACAGUACCGGGAGAAUAAGCUCCGGCUAACUCCGUGCCAGCCGCCGCGGUAA
rnacentral:rRNA from 1 species